AUGAUGGUUCCAUCAAAUCAAAACGCCUGUAGUAGCACAAUUAGGCGCUGGUUCGAACAUCUAGUUGCCAUGGUUGUAGCACUUGUCGGGGCACGGCCAUCCACCCCGUUGCCUGCCCGUGGUCGUGGUCACCCACCCAUCGCAGCUCCUCUGUCCACCGGUUGCAGCUCCCGGCCAGGCCGGUUGCAGCUGUUCCCGUCCACCAGAUGCAAAUCCCCGGCGUGCUUCCUCCUCCGUCCAGCGCCAACCCGUGGUCCAUCACACGGGGGCGUCGGGGAGCAGGAAGGGGAGGGCCGACGAGCAGAGGUGAAGAGAGAUGAAGAGAGGAGCAGGGGAUGCCUCGCCGGUGGGGGCCUUGCCGGAGAAACCGCGGCGCUGGCCGAAGCCAGGCGCAUGGAGAGAAAUGAGUGGGGAUGGAUAUGUGCGAGAGAUGCUGAGAAGAGAGGCGAGCAGGGGAUGGAAGGAUAA
rnacentral:rRNA from 1 species